UUAGUUUUUUAAUUGAAGACUAGAAUGAAAGGUUGAACAAAAAGUUGACUGUCUCUGGGUUAAAUCUUGAAUUUAACAUUUAAGUGAGAAGGCUUAAAUAUUUUAGGGGGACGAUAAGACCCUAUAAAUCUUUAUAUUUAAGUUUAUAAAAUAAAAUAUUAAGUACAUUUUUUAUUUAAUAAGUUUAAAUAUUUUGUUGGGGCGACAGAAGUAUAAAAUGUAACUGCUUUAAAAUAAUGGUUAGUCGAUGUUUAGUUAUGUGGUCCUUUAAUAAAGAUAUUAGUUUAAGUUACUUUAGGGAUAACAGCGUAAUUUUUUUUGAGAGUCCGUAUCGAAAAAAAAGUUUGCGACCUCGAUGUUGAAUUAAAGAUCCUUUACGGCGCAGAAGUUGUAAAAGGAGGUCUGUUCGACCUUUAAAUCUUUACA
rnacentral:rRNA from 1 species